GGUGUAGCUCAGUGGUAGAGUGUGUGCUUAGCAUGCAUGAGGUCCUGGGUUCAAUCCCCAGCACC
rnacentral:tRNA from 1 species